rnacentral:rRNA from 1 species
UAGGGAAUCUUCCACAAUGGGGGAAACCCGUGAUGCAGCGACGCCGCGUGAGCGAAGAAGUAUUUCGGUAUGUAAAGCUCUAUCAGCAGGGAAGAAGAAAUGACGGUACCUGACUAAGAAGCACCGGCUAAAUACGUGCC